GCCCCCAUCGUCUAGUGGCCUAGGACACCUCUCUUUCAAGGAGGCGACGGGGAUUCGACUUCCCCUGGGGGUA
rnacentral:tRNA from 3 species